UCGUAGUUGGAAACUUUACUUUACAAAGUCAUCCAAAGAAUGUGCCUGAUUUAUAUAUAGUAAUGUUAUCUACAAAUAUUUUAACUUCUAAUGUAACUUGGAUCAUUUUAUUCUUUUGGCUGCAUCAGUUGGUAGAGUCUGUCUAACCAAGGUUGUCAAGGAAUUCAAGAAACGCAUUUCCAGCCAACAUGAAUGGGUAUGAUGGUCUUUCUCCAUUAAACUAUUCCUUUCCUUCUUAACGUUAUUGAUACUGCCUAUUUUAAAGAAAUUCUUACAUAUUGCAUGUACUAGUGACUCGUGUGAACAUAAAUUUGGUUUUCCCUUUUCUUUUUAUCAUCUAUUUGGCAGAUCAGUUCUUGCAAUGAGAGUGGAACUUUGGCAGAUUUUUGACAGGACAUAGGAGAAAGGAAUGUGAUUUAAAGUUGCCGGAGGAGCAAUGAAAAUGUAGUUGUAUAUAGAUUAGGACAAGUUGGUAUUGUAGCUAUUUUCAUGGAUUCCUACACUUCAAAUGAUUUUGUGAAGUGGAUUAUCAAAGUUCAAUGAAGUGUUUCUUUUGUUCUUUUAUUCUUGGUUUUUCUUUAUAUAUGAAGUUCAAUUUAUAGCGACAACAUAUAUGUGUUUAUAACAAGCAACAUAACCUCAACACAAAUAUGCAGUGUGAGCUGGAGUCACAAGACAAAAUGUUGAUUGAACGUUUUUUAUUUUUCAAUCACACGACACUUAAAUGUUGAGUGAAGCACCUCGGCACGACAAAAACCAUGAUAAACUAUGAUAAUGCUUCUUUCAGACAACAUUUAAAUGUGGUUACAUUGUAGAGUCUAAGCGGAAAAGUUAAAAGUUUGUGGUAGGAAUAGAAUUGAAAGUACAAUUAAAUGUCGUCUGACAGAACAACUAGCAAAAUGUAUAAUAGUUUACAAAGUUAGAUGACAGAUAAGUGACAUUAGAUCUUCUAUAUAACCACAUAUAUUACAAAUUUUUGACGUUGUAAGCUCACACACUCAACACUUUAUUGAAGUGUGAUUAGAUAGAAAAAUCCAAUAAAUCAAAUUAUUCUUCAAUCAGUCCACACUUAUAUGUGGUAGGUAUACAAAACAGACGACAUUUGAUGUGUCUUGUGAUAUGAUAUUACAAUUUUUUGAUGUUGAUUUAGUCCACACUUAACUGUGAUGCGUUUACUGAAAUUUUUCAAUCUUCUCUCUUCUCAGACGACAUAAGAUAUGUCGUGUGAUGUCGUAUCAGACGACGGCUAUUCUCCGUCGUCUGAUAGUCCAUCACUCGACAGCUCCUCAGACGACAUAAAAAAAAACAUCAGACUACAGACUUGGACUGUCGUCUGAUGAAGUAUAUGGCCUAGUGCCGGGUUUGUUGUUUACAACCCGGUGCACCAUUUCUUGGUGUAGGGGUUAGACCUGCAGGUGAGGAUCAGUAGGGUUGAGGUGGAAGAUUAGUGGCAGGGUUUUUUUUUGUUGGGUUUUGGUUGUUCAUUGUAUAUUCUUUUUUUUUAUACAUUGGGAUAGAAAUUAUUAAACUCAUGUGAGUGUUUCAUUUUCUUGUCUCUCAAGUUAUGUAAACAAGGAAAUAUAAUAUUUAACUCAAUUUGGAGUUGUGUGUAAAUUUACAUUCCGCAUUGAGUUUAUUUUCCUUGAAUUUUGUUGAAACAGGUUUUGGGAUAUUAAUAUUUUAAGAUAUAUCAUGCCAAAAUUUUAAAAAUUAUCUUUCGAAAAUUGGGGUGUGACAACAACACAGCAGGACGCGCUGCCACGGGCCGCCAAUGGCGGCGGCGAGUGAGCCCCACGCGCCACCACCAACUUUCAAAUUUGAGAAAACUUACAACAGCAAAGUUGAAGCUUGAAGCAAGGUGAACAACUUUAAUACUUGAGGUUUCAACCAGUUCGGCCAAAAAUAGCCGAAAAACGCCACGAAACACCAACCCGAAUUCAAAAUCCAAACCUGCAAAUCCGGCGCCCAAACUUGAUUUUUAGGUCACCAAAGAGGUAUAAACAUCUCUAGAGGAAGGAGAGGAGCAAGACUCACCUAACUCUUACCGAAAACGCCGUCGAAAUCGCCGGAUUUCCGGCGAUACCGUAGCAUCUCCGCCACUUUAUGGCGGCAUCUAGGCGGCGAGACGGUAGGCGGUGUUGCCCCAGAAAUGGAGAGGGAACCUGCACGAGUCGAAUGGGACCGAUGGAGUCCGGUUUGGUGGCCGGAUGAGGGAGAACUCGGCUGGAGAAGAGAGAGAGCUCGGGAGCGUCGGGAGAGAGAGGAGAGAGAGAAGUGAGCUGACUUUUAGGGUUUCCAAAUUAACCCACACACAUUUUUCUACUUACACACUUUCCAAACCCGAAAACUAACUUCCUCUGCCUAUAACUUUCUCAUACGACAUCUGUUUCAGGCGUGCCGCAUUUUUACGAACUUGUAUCAACAAGCUCUACAACUUUCAAGAAGGAAGUUUUCGAAGAUAACUUACGGAAAAUAAAGUCAACUUUUGGCCUCUUAAAAGUCAAAGCACCUUAAAAUUUACUCCCGAAACUUCAACUUCGCACAACUAAAGAAUUUUCACAAAUAAUCCUUCAUUAAUUAUGGGAAUAAUACAAGAAAAAUGAAAUGAAAAUUUUGGGGUAUUACAGGGAAUACAUGGAGUUGAGGCAUAGUUAAUACUAUAGCUUCCGCUUAUUUGUAUAUAUAUAUAUAUAUUUUUUUGUUUUUUUGUUUUUUACCAUUAGAGUUGCUAUGAAAUAAUUAUGAAUGUUGGUUAUUGGACUAUUUUUUUAGAUUAGUAAAUAACUUGAGAGGUUUUGUGAAUUUGGGGAGUAUGAAGGCUCCAAGAGUAUAUAAGGUUGGAGUUUGAUUUUUAGAAGUGUUUGAAAAUGUUUUUUUUUAAUUUUUUAGGAAGGGUUGUCCAUUUUCAAGGGAGGUUAUGCCGAAUUUUUGGUAGCAUCUUUUUUGGAGGUGGUCCCGGUAGAGUUCAUUUCGGGGUGGUCCUGACAAUAUUUAUUGUAAAGUAAUAUAAGUUUUGAUGGUAAAGUAUUAUGGUGUGUUUGGAUACGGGUGAAUUCCUAGGAAUUUAAUCAAAAAUAAGGAAUUCUUAAUUUCUCAAGACUCUUUCCAUCGUUUGGAUUCUUAUUCCGUAGAAUUUUCCAUGGGAAAAUAAUCGUGGAAUUUGGGGGCUUAAAUUCCCGACUUAAAUUCCUCACAAAAUAGGCGUCAUUUGUCAAUUCUUUUAACUCAUGUUAGUCUAAAUACAAAUUCUUGUCAUUUUAAAACUCUACAUCAUAUAAUCCAAAGAAUAGAAUUUCCAAUUAAUAGAAUUUAAAUUCAAGGAAUUGUAAUUCCAGUGAUUUUAAAAUUUCUAUAGAAAUUGAAAUUAUUUUAUCUAAAUACAACAAAGUAAUAUAUGGUUAGUGGUAUAUAUUAUUUCAUUGCAAAUUAGCUAUGUUAUAUGAACUGAUACUUCAUUCAUUAGCUCUGCAUGGUAACUAGAGUGCUUAUAUAUAUUUUUUAAUGUUCCUUGUACUUAUUCACUGCAAUGUAAAAUAUUAAAUAUAUGAAUAUAUCUUAUGAUCAUUUCAGUUUAAGGACAAGACAUACAAUCAACGAAAUAAUGAACCAAGUAGCUUUAGAUUAUUAUACAUUUCAUUCUUUUCAGUCAUUUGAAUGUUGUUUCAUUAUCUAAGCUAUUAAGUAGAAACCAAGUAGCUCAUACUGAAUAUAAUAGGAUGUACUAAACCAGUUACCACUUUGCUGUUUCAAUCAUAUUGAUAAUGAUUUCCAGCAACAAAAGGCUUUGUUUUUUUUAAGAAAAACUUACUAAAGCAUUGUUAUAUUCAGUUUGGCAGGAGACACUUGAUGAGUAAAUGGUGGAUAUUGAGUUUGGUUAUGAAGCAGGAUGUAUCAUAGUACACCAUUACAGUUAGGAGGACUUUCUGCACUCUAGUGUACACCCACCAUUGUAGUUGCUUGUAUUUGGUUUGAUGUCUCUUUUUUGUAGUUUUUCAAGUUAUAUAUGGAACGACAAUUGUAGAUGUAUUAUAGGUCUUUUGAGAAAUAUUAGUAUAGAAAUGGAUCAAACACAGAUAGAACAAGUAAUUUCAAUGGCUUGGUGCAAAACCUCAAUGAGGGAAAAAGCACCAAGCAUGAUUAUUCCUUUAAUCUUCAAAAGAUUACAAGUGGUAAUUCUCACACAAUUACACAACUCAUACAAUGUUUUCUCUUCUUACUUCUCACACAAGUAACUUAAUUCAAGUAGCUCUAUCAAGUGAAAUUGAAUUGAAAUUCUGAGAUCUCACUCACUCAGCUAUACUAGUUCUCACACAACUAAUACAUACUGCAACUAAUUCUCACACAAUUAGUCUUUAUACAGCAACAACUAAGACUCAAACACUCUUACUUCUUCUCUCAGAAUUUAUCGCACAUCAAGAUGAUACUCUGAUGAAUAGCUUGAUUCUUUAACACAACCAGUUUCUCAGCUUCUUUUAGACUCGACUUCUCAGUAUGUUUUUGUUCUCAAAACUCAAAUGCAACCUGUAUGCAAGUAAGAAAAGAGAAACUCAGUCUAUCUUAGAUAUACACAAUCUUAGAUAUACACAAGUAGUUUGUAAGAUGAGCAUGAACACACAAUUAACUUAGAGACAAUGCUUAACACAGUUUUUUCUCAAUCAUACCAAAAAGCUUAUCUUUCUAAGCACAACAGAAGCAAUUUAUAGAGUGUGAAACACUCCCCCUUAACUGAUGCCUUUCAAUGACAAGAUCAAAUUUCGUUUAUGAAAAUAUGCAAUCAGUCCACCAACAGUUUGCACUUUCCAAAACGCAUAUACCAGUUUCAUGCUAUAACAUAACCAUUAGAUAAAACAUAAAUCAUUUUCUUAAUCACCUGAGAACAAUGAUUAUGCAUAUAGAAUCAGACAUGUUUAUGCAGGUACUGAUAUGUACAUUACUGAUAUGGAAAUAAGAUAUCCUGCAUAUUAUCAAUUAAUGUUUCCGAAAUGGAAGUCUUUAGAAAUAAGACUUUUCCAAAAUUUCAUCAUUCAAAAACUUAUCAACUUGAAAGCCAGAUCUACUUACCAUAUAUGAGAUAUUAAAAUCUCAUUACCUUGAUCUUUUGACAUGAUACCUUUGAUUAUAUCUUUGAACUAGACUUUAUGAUUUUUCUUGAUAUGAAAUCUUCUUUCCUCUUUUCCUUCCUUCAUUAGGAGUCCUUGUGUUGAAUAGGAAUAGCCAAUAUGCCAACAUUUUCCCCCGUUGGCAUUGCUAUUCAACACAAGAUCAAGACCUGUAAAACAGACACAGAACCAACAUAUAUAUACAGAAAGGAAAGCAGGCUUAAAGAUUUUCGAAUUAGUAUCCAUCAUUUUCUCAAUCUUCAAGAUAAAAAUCAAAAGAAGACACAAAAUAAUAAAUGACUGCAUGCAUAGUUCAAAGAAAACACAAAAUAUGUCUAGUGCUUAGGCACUUUUACAAACUAGAAAUAAGAUUUGAUGUUCUAGUCAUCGAAAAUCAAAAAGCAGAAAAUAAAACAAGAAAAUUGUUGUUGAUCCUUGAUCUUAAACAAGCAAACUGUUCUUGAUCCUUGAUCUUAUUCUCCCCUUGAAUAGCAAGCCAAAGAAAUAAUUACCACUUGCCCCAUUUAUCUUCAUCUGAAUAUUUCAUCUUUUCUUCUAGCUCCCAAGGAUUGAAUGGUUUCUUGGAACGAGGGUCAGCAGCCUCAUCCUCCUUCAUGAAAUCAAGAGAGCGCUUGGCACUUGAUGGUUCUGCAGUAGAAGCUUUUGGUUGAAAACCAAGAGGAACAUCUGAGUCAGCAAUGCUAGGAAGAUGGUGAGUAAGUUCAUUGAUUCUCCUUCCCAUGAUCAGAACAGCUUCAGUAAGAGCACCAAUCUAAGUCUGAAUGUCUUGUGCUCAGUCACUGGUCACCUUUUCCAAAGAAUCAAGAUAGACUGCUAUCUUGUUAGGAUCUGAAUCAUUUUCUAGGGGCACCAUAGGACGCCAUGGUUUGCCUUCAUACCAAGUGCCCGGGAAUGUCUUUGCCUUGUGAAACUCUGAAUGAAGCCUUGGAGAGAGAGGUGGAGGAGAAGAUUCAUCUAGAGGAGAGGGCACUGGCCUCCCUAUCCUAUCUAGAGAAAGGUUGGGAAGCAUUGGUUGUUUAUCCUUUGCCAUCAAAUAUCUGAAGUGAUUCCUGCACACAAAAACUGAAAAACCUAGUGAAGAAACUGUGUGGGGAAUGAAAAACUGCAGAGGCACCUCUUUAUAGGAAGGAAUACAGAAGUUGAAAAGGAAUGACGGUUCCUGAAAAGGCAUGCAAUAUCAAUGGACUUUAUUAGCAAUAUUGACUACCAUAACAAAUUUUCUUCAGUUCAAAGCCCAUUCCACAUGUCCACACAAUUUGAAAGACCAGAAAAAGUGGAAAAACAGAUGCAAAUCUCUAUUGCAAUCUUUUAGACUAACUCUGAAUCUCCUCUCAUUAGUGAAGGGAGAAAAUAAUUAAGGCAAAACACACAAUGAAGUAGAAGAAAUUUCUGUGUUGUUCAUAACUAAGCAAAGAUAAGAUCAACAAUCAAUUGUAUCCCUGUGUGUCUCAGCAGAAGUAGAAUUUGAGCCAAGUGACAGUUAGGAAUAGACAUGAAUAUUCUCAGAAAGGAUUCUUAUUUUUAGCAGGAGUUACAAACAACAACCAACUUUGUUCAUAACAACUAAAAAUACCAAGUGAUCAAGCCAUUCCUGUUUCUCCCCCAGUGUCUUAUAUUGUUCAUCACAACCAAGACAUGGUUACUUUAGGAAUAGCCUGGCCUGAAUGUGAGAUUCUUAUGUUUUUAUCUCACAUAUUAUGAACACCUAUAGAGUAAGUCAAAUGCAGCAACUCCCAAAUCAGUUGAUUUUAGGGUACAAGAUAUCCCAAGGCAUCAAUACUCAAGUGUCUGAUCAUUUUAGCCAAACCAGCUUUGAUCAACCUCCAUGCAUAUCAGCUAUUUAAAGAGGCCGCAAAUUUACUGCAAACAAUCAGCUUUUGGUCACAUUCUUUUGCAUUCUCUUAAUCACAUUUCCCUUUUUGCAAUUAUUGUUCCUAUCCCUGAGAAAUAUCAUGUCCAUUGUGUGUGUGUGCUGGCAUCAAAAGGUAUUUCUUGACAAGGCAUACAAGCAUCAAAAAUAUUAACCAGACUCACACCAUAUUUAGUUAUGAACAACCAUCUGAUUUCUACACAUCAUGGAGCUAAGAUCAAUAAUCAAAGACAAACUGUACAUAUGUUAUAAGAACCAUUUCAAGAGUUUAGACAUUAAGAUAGGGAUUUUUGCAAAUGCCUAAAGCAUUUCUGAGUUCUUCAAAUCGAUCGGUAGCAAGGGGUUUAGUGAAAAUAUCACCAAGUUGAUUAGCAGUAGAUAUGUAUUCCAUUUUUAGAAUAUGUUUCUCAACUAGAUCUCUGAUAAAAUGAUACCUGAUAGCAAUGUGCUUAGUCUUCGAGUGUUGCACUGGAUUUUUUGUGAUGUUGAUUGCACUGGUGUUGUCACACAGAUUAGUGUUGUCACACAGAUUAGUGAACUUACCUUGUGACAUCCUAUAGUUCCUUAGCAUAUUUUGCAUCCCCAACAUUUGAGUACAGCAGCUACCAGCUGCUACAUAUUCUGACUCAGUUGUAGACAAAGAUAUACAAUUUUGCUUUUUGCUAUGCCAAGCAACCAUAUUGUUUCCCAAGAAAAAACAUCCACAUGAUGUGCUCUUGUUAUCUUUAAGACUUCCUCCCCAAUCAACAUCUGAAUAACUAACAAUCUCUGCAUUAGUAUCACAAGUAUAUCUAAUUCCACAUGAAACUGUACCUGACACACAUCGAAUGAUUCUCUUGACUGCAGCUAAGUGUGAUUCUUUUGGAUUUGCUUGAAAUCUUGCACACACCCCAAGACUGAAUGAAAUGUCUGGUCUGCUUGCAGUGAGGUAAAGAAGACUGCCUAUCAUGCUUUGAUAUAAGGUUUGAUCUACUGGUUUCUCUUCUUUAUCAUGACAAAGUUUGACUGAAACACUUAUUGGAUUUGAAAUGCACUUCUUUGUUUCAAGACCAAACUUCUUCACCAAGUUCUCAGCAUACUUUGUUUGAGAUAAAAACAUUCUUGUAUCAUGUUGCUUUAUUUGAAGGCCAAGAAAAUAUAUUAAUUCACCACACAUGCUCAUUUCAAAUUCAUUGGUCAUAACAGAAGUAAACUGUUGGACCAAAGAAUCUGAAGUAGAGCCAAAAACAAUAUGAUCAACAUAUACUUGAGCAACCAUAAAAUGUUCUUUUUCAGUACGCACAAACAGUGUUUUAUCAACUUUACCUCUUGCAUAUCCUUUACCUACCAAAUAUGUAGAUAACUUGUCAUACCAUGCCUUGGAGCUUGUUUGAGACCAUACAAGGCUUUCUUUAGCUUGUACACAUGAUUAGGAUGAUGUGGAUCUUGAAAACCUUUAGGUUGUUCCACAAAGACUUCCCUCCUCUAGAAGACCAUUUAAGAAUGCAGUUUUGACAUCCAUUUGAUAGAGCUUGAAUCCUAGAUGACAUGCUAUUGCUAGUAGUAAUCUUAUGGAUUUAAGUCUAGCUAUUGGUGCAAAAGUCUCAUCAAAAUCCAAACCUUCAACUUGUGAGUAUCCUUGACCCACUAGCCUGGCUUUGUUUCUCACAACAUUUCCAUGCUCAUCACUUUUAUUUCUGUAGAUCCAUUUAGUUCCUACCACAUUUCUUGUUGUUGGUCUAGGAACUGGAUCCCACACUUGAUUUCUUGUGAACUGAAGCAAUUCCUCUUCCAUUGCCUUGAUCCAGUUAUCAUCUGUAAGAGCUUCCUUCACAUUCUUAGGUUCAAUUAGUGAGACAAAACCAAAAUGAGAAAUAAUAUUGAUAUUUCCUUGAUUUUGAUUUAGAAAACAUACCAAUGUUGCAUCCUUAAUUACCUCUCCUUAAGUUGCUCGUCUUCUGGUUAUAAUUCCUUCUUGCAUGUUUCCAAUAACAUCUAUCAUAGAAUGAUCCUUUUUUACUUGUCUAAAACCAGUUCUUGUUUUAGGCACUUGUUGGAGAUUUGAAUCAAUAGACUCAUCAGCUUCACUUCCAGUUUCAGCCUUACCAUUUAACUCAGUUUGAUCAUGAUCGGUAGUUUGACUGUCAUCUAAUAUUAUCUGUCUAUCAAAAAAUUCAUCCACAUACACAUUAAUAGAGACUAGGAAAGAUUUUGUUUCUUGUACACCCUAUAAGCUCGGCUAUUUAAGGAAUAUCCCAGAAAAAUACCAAUUUCACUUCUUGUUUCAAAUUUUCCCAAAUAUUGUCUAUCCUUGAAAAUGUAACAUGGAUUUCCAAAAACAUGCAAAUGACUUACAUUGGGUUUCUUACCUUUCCACAGCUCAUAGGGAGUAUUGUUGGUGCCAGGUCUGAGCAUUACCCUAUUUAUGAUAUAGCAUGCUGUGUUGAUUGCCUCAGCCCAAAUUUUUUGACUCAGUCCAGAAGAGUGCAACAUCACUCUUGCCAUGUCCAGUAGAGCUCUAUUUUUUCUUUCAACAAUACCAUUCUAUUGUGGAGUAGUAGGAGCUGAAAAGUUUCACCUUUAUCUGCAAGAAAAUAUACCCACGUAAAUCUUGUAAAAUCAUCAACAACAACCAAAAUAUAGCUCUUUCCUAUAUGACUUUCAUAUUGAGAUGGACCCAUUAGAUCCAUGUGCAGUAGCUCCAUUGCUUGAGAUGUAGGAAUUGAGUUGAUACUUUUAUAUGCAGAUCUUAACUGUUUCCCCAUUUUACAUCCUCCACAGAUUUUAUCUGUUCUAUCUCUGAGUUUUGGCAUGCCUCUUACAAUUCCUUGAUUUGACAAUUUUAACAAGUCCUGAAAGUUUACAUGACCAAGUCUUCUAUGCCAAAGAUCAAAAAUUUCCUCUGUGGAACUUGUUCCCAUACACAUCUGCACAUCAGGUGAAUCAUUAGCUAAUACAUGAUAUGACACGACCCACCCCGAAUUUCACCCUGAAACCCGGAGUAAGUCGUGCGGGGACCAUCUCCAAGGAAAAUUUACUGAAAAGAUUGAUAAAAUCUCCCUUGAAAAUGGACAACCCUAACUCGAAAAUUUCAAAAUACACUCUUAAUACAACACGUCCAAACAUCAUAUAAUUAACCUUCAGAAAUUCUAAACAUAAAAUACAGUAAUCCCAAAGUAUUCAGAGCUACUAGACACUAGCGGAAGCGAGAAAACACGAGUAGGUUAAACAUGUAACCUACUGAUGAAAACUGGCGGAAAUACGGGUGACUAUGCCUCGCCUCCUACUAGAUCCAACCCGAACUCUGCAGACUGGGCAAUUUAAAACGAAGAGCCCAGGGGAAAACAUGUGGAACAGUUAGAGUGAGUGGACAAAAAUAAAUUAAAAUAAAAGUAUUUCUUUAUGCUUCCCCAAUUUAAUUUCCAAAUAAAAUAAUACUGCAUGCAAUCGCUCAAAAGCGCUCAACUCAAAAACUGGCAACUUCACAACCAGCACCGGCUAGUCUCCAAAACUUAAUAAAAUACAGCAUCUCAAGCUAAAUUAUAUAUAAACAUAUAUAAGUGUAUGUAUUUACACUAGUCAGACUCCUUGUAUGAAUUCUAAAAACAAAUUAGAAAAAUAGAAAUUCAUAGAAGGUUACUAAGCUUGCGUCUAACGCUCACGUCACACCAUAAUGGAAUUGUAUCUCAGUAUGGCGAAAAAAGCACGAGUGUAUAUAUGUGUGGACUCCCUAUAUGAAAACCUAAAUAAACCAAAUAAGAAAAUAGUUUUCAUAUAGGGCUACUACGCUUGUGUCUAACACUCACGUCACACCAUAAUGGUAUUUUACCUCAUUAUGGCGGAUCAAACACGUAUGGCUAGCUAGCAUUUAUAUAUACAUACUAUCAUCAUAAACAUCCAAUAAACAUAUCCACCGAAAAUCUCAUUUUCGGGAUCUCUCCAAAGGAGGAAAAUUGCCAAAUAUCCGAGAAAUAAAUAAAUCUCAGGAAAAGAAAUAAAUGAUCAACAGAUAAUUCAUCGCAUGCUUUUCAAUUAAAAUAAAGGUCCACUCACAACUUAGGCCUAAGCCUGAUGACGCUCCGAGGCUUCCUCUGCUCGGGCCUCCUCUCGUCCUGUUCCAAAUAUAUAAUUAAUUUCCCACCAAAAAUCCAAUAAUUAAACAAAAUGGGCAAAAUUAAACGUGAGCCUCCCACACACUCAUCAUUGCCCAAAUUCGCCAUUCUUAACUCAAUACGGCUCAAACUUCGCCGAACAUACCGGCAGCCGUAAAAACAACUUCCCACAGAAUACGACUUAAAUCCUACGGCCGGAUUCUACAUUAAUUAACCGUCAAAAAAUACCAAAGUAAAUAACCGUAAAAUAACUUAAGAACCGGGGUGUGACAUGAUAACAAUUAUCAACUGAUCUAACUCCACCCAUUAUGUAGUCUCUCUUGUUGUUCAGAACUUGACACUUCUUUUUGUUGAACCAAACAUCUUCAAAAUCAUUUGUCAGUUGACUAAAACUCAGUAAAUUUGUAUUCAAACCUUCAACAUACAAUACAUUUUCAAGGUUUGGAAUGUUUGGUGUGUUGACAAUCCAUUUUCCUUUGAUUCCUGCUUGUCCUCCAUCACCAAAUGUAAUAGUACCUGAAAUAUUUCUGUUAGUGAAAGAAAUAAACCAUUCUUUGUUACCACACAUGUGUCUUGAACACUCACUGUCUAUGUACCACACAUCACUCUUUUUGCUGGAUAAAGCAGUCAAUGCAACUAAGCAGGUUGCCAUAAUAUGAGUUUCAUUUGAGUAGACAGAUGCACUCAGGCAAAAAGCUUGUAUUUCUUCCUUCUCUUCAUUCCUUGUCCAGCAUUUCACUCCUCUUCUUUCCUGCAUUCUUUCUUCAUAAAUCAUGUUAGACAUUUGACGAAUAAGGUUCAUACGUUCAUUCAUUUCUUUAUGUAGAAUUUCAAAUUUAUCACCCUUAGCAGUAUAUUGAGAAGAUCCAUUUAUGCAAUUUGGUCUGAUAUGACCAAUCUGUCCAUAGUGAUAACAAGUAAGAACAAAAGGUUUCCUCGAAACAUACCUUUUCUCAGUCGAUUUAGGAAUGACUAUUUUUACUUGUUGUUUUUCUUCAGUUUCCAACACUAGUUGUUCUUCCCCUUUUUCUUUAACAAACCUUGUGACAUUGGAGCUUUCACCAGUGUAUCCAAGUCCAAAUGUAUCCUUAUGUGCUUUUCCUAUACUGAGAAUAUUUGAGACUAUCUUUGAACUUGUUUGAAAUUGACUAAAUUUUUCCCUUGACUUUCUCAACUCAGCCUGCAACAAAACAAUUUCAGAGUUUAGCUCAUUAAUUUUCAAAUCUCUUAACUCUAUUUUAGAUUCUAAAUUUACACAACUACUGCUAAUGAACCAGUGUUUUUGAUAUUUUCAUUCUUCAACUCAGUUUGCAACUUUUGAAUACUGUUGUUGAACUCAUUUCUUUCAUUUUCCCAAAACUCCUAUUCAGACUGCAAUAUGUUUUCAGUUUUCUCUUGCUGUUCUGGUUCCUGGAGAACCUUCACCUGUUUCUUCAAGACAUUAUUCUUGUUGUUCAAGAUUUUUGAGGCAUUGUACAAUUGAUCAUAUUUGUCGUCUAGUUUCCUCCUGUCAAAAAAAUCAUCACUAGAAUCAUCAUCACUAGAACACACACUGUCAGUAUCAGAAAAAGACUCACAUGAGUCAAAUCUUAUAGAAGAAACGAAAGCAAAGUUCCUUUCUCCUUUUCUGAGGGAAUGUUCUUCAUCACUAUCACUCUAGGAAGUAGCUUUGAGUGCCCUUUUUUCACCAGUGCCCCUAUCCUUGAAUUUUUCACCUGCUUCAUUCUUUCUAUUCCCACAAUCAGUUGAAAUAUGACCAUAACCAUCACAUUCAAAGCAUUUCGGUCUAUAAUUCUUCAUUUCAAGCUUGUUAUGACUUCUAGAGUUUUUCUCAAAUCGAUUUUCAGAAUUUUUAUUUCUUCUUGAAUCAUGAAAGUUUUUAGAAGAACUAGAAUUUUGAUUGUUCCUAGAUUUCAAAAGUUUUUUGAAUUCCUUUGUGAGCAAAGCAUAAUCAAUAUUUUCAUCUUCCUGAUCAAUUUUAGAAGAGUUUUUCAAAGCCACACUCUUCUGUUUCUUAUCAGACCAAGAGCUAUCAGCAAUCAUUUUUAAUUCAAAGGUUUUAAGAUUACUUACUAAAUAUUCCAGAGAAUAUUUAUUUAAAUUGUGUACCUCCAUGAUAGCUGCCUUCUUGGGAAGGUACUUCCUUGGCAAAGCUCUAAGAAAUUUUUUCACCACCUUGUGCUCCUCAAACGGUUCAUUCAAGCUCUGACAUUGACCUAUAAUGUUAGUUACCCUUAAAUAAAAAUCAUUAAGCAACUCAUCCUCACCCAUUUUUAAAUUUUCAAAUUCUUUAGCAAGAAUCUGAAGUUUCUGGAUUUUGACAAUCUCACAUCCUUCAUGUGAAGUAACAAGCAUGUCCCAAGCUUCCUUUGCAGUGUCACAGUAUUGAAUACGCCUUCUUUCCUUAACACCAAGUGCAGUGAAUAAUGCAUUUUUAGCAACAUAAUCAGCAUUACAUAAGGCUUGCUCAUCUGCUGACCACAAGUCGACUGGUUUUAAUUGAACUCUAGAUGUAUUCUCUGAUUUCACAACUGGAGCUUUGUAACCUGAUUGAAUAAUUUUCCAUGCCUUUGCAUCCAAGGUGUAUAUGAAUGUUCUCAUCAUGAUCUUCCACUGUGGAAAAUCAUCACCAUCAAAUUUUAGAGGUUGAUUUACUGCAUUUCUUUCCAUUUCAAAAGUGGAUCUACUAGACACUUACUAGCACUUGCUCUGGUACCAAAUAUUAGUAUAGAAAUGGAUCAAACACAGAUAGAACAAGUAAUUUCAAUGGUUUGGUGCAAAACCUCAACGAGGGAAAAAACACCAAGCAAGAUUAUUCCUUUAAUCUUCAAAAAGACUACAAGUCGUAAUUCUCACACAAUUACACAACUCAUACAAUGUUCUCUCUUCUUCUCACACAAGUAACUUAAUUCAAGUAGCUCUAUCAAGAGAAACUGAAUUAAAAUUCUGAGAUCUCACUCACUCAGCUAUACUAGUUCUCACACAACUAAUACAUACUGCAACUAAUUCUCAUACAAUUAGUUUUUAUGCAGUAGCAACUAAGACUCAAACACUCUUAGUUCUUCUCUCAAAAUUUAUCACACAUCAAGAUGAUAGUUUGAUGAACAGCUUGGUUCUUUAACACAACCAGUUUCUCAGCUUCAUUUAGACUUGGCUUCUCAGUAAGCUUUUGUUCUCAAAACUCAGAUGCAACUUGUAUGCAAGUAAGAAAAGAGAAACUCAGUCUAUCUUAGAUAUACACAAGUAGUUUGUAAGAUGACCAUGAACACACAAUCAACUCAAAGACAAUGCUUAACACAGUUUUUUCUCAAUCAUACCAAAAAGCUUAUCUUUCUAAACACAGUAGAAGCAAUUUAUAGAGUGUGAAACACUCCCACUUAACUGAUGCCUUUCAAUAACAAGAUCAAAUUUCGUUUAUGAAAAUAUGCAAUCAGUCCACCAACACUUUGCACUUUCCAAAACGCAUAUACUAGUUUCAUGCUAUAACAUAGCCAUUAGAUAAAACAUAAAUCAUUUUCUUAAUCACCUGAGAACAAUGAUUAUGCAUAUAGAAUCAGACAUGUUUAUGCAAGUACUGAUAUGGACAUUACUGAUAUGGAAAUAAGAUAUCCUGCAUAUUAUCAAUUAAUGUUCCUGAAAUGGAAGUCUUUAGAAAUAAGACUUUUCCAAAAUUUCAUCAUUCAAAAACUUAUCAACUUGAAAGCCAGAUCUACUUACCAUAUAUGAGAUGUUAAAAUCUCAUUACCUUGAUCUUUUGACAUGAUACCUUUGAUUAUGUCUUUGAUCUAGACUUUAUGAUUUUUCCUGGUAUGAAAUCUUCUUUCCUCUUUUCCUUCCUUCAUUAGGAGUCCUUGUGUUGAAUAGGAAUAGCCAAUAUACCAACAUUCUCCCCCUUUGGCAUCGCUAUUCAACACAAGAUCAAGACCUGUAAAACAGACACAAAACCAACAUAUAUAUACAGAACGGAAAGCAGGCUUGAAGAUUUUCGAAUCAGUUUCCAUCAUUUUCUCCAUCUUCAAGAUAAAAAUCAAAAGAAGACACAAAAUAAUAAAUGACUGCAUGCAUAGUUCAAAGAAAACACAAAAUAUGUCAAGUGCUUAGGCACUUUUACAAACCAGAAAUAAGAUUUGAUGUUCUAGUCAUCAAAAAUCAAAAAGCAGAAAACUUAAAAUAGACUCUACCAGGCUCUAAGCUGCUUCCGCCAUUGUCUAACACUUAUAAUAGAUUUAUAUUGUGAAAUAGUUUCUCUCUAACUCAAAAAGAAGUUGAGCUAAAAUAAGAUUGCACCUAAAACCUGUUCUAUUUUCAUUCAGCUGAUCAAGUGGAUCCGGUAGCCCACUUGUCUUUGGAAGAGGAGAGGAGCACGCGCAAUGAAGGCUAAAGAAAGAAACACACCAAUUCAAAAAGGACAAAAUAUUCUUCAAAAUAAGUUUGCAUUCUUCCAAAGGCGAGUGAUUUUUUUUUUCCUAACCUGACGAUGAUAGAUACGACGAGGAGAGUGUUGAAAUUUCCAGAUAUGAGAUUGCCGCAACAACAUCAGUGAUAUCGUCAUCUUCGGGGAAAGAAUCGAUCUGCAAUAAAAAUUGGGGGAGAUGGCUGAGUAGGUGAUGGUCGAGGGCUGAGUGAGAGAGAAGGGAGGGCUCGCGCAGGUGUUAAGGAGAGAGAGUUGAAGGGCUAAGGAGUUUGUUGGGAGAAAGAGGCUGGGGAUUUUUGGGAGAGACCGAUGAGAAAGCUGAGAGGCACGGUGGAAUGAACUAGAUUGUUAAAUGUGGGUUGAAUGGUUGAGAGAGAAAUAUGUUUUGGUUGCGCUGUUGAGGUUUUGGUUGGGUUGUAGUUUUUUUUUGUUUUGUUUAAGUGUUAGGGGAGAAUUUAAUUUUGGGCUGAAAUAUAGGGGAAGGUUUGAGCACAUCAAUAUUUCAGACAAGCGCCAAUUAAUUGGCAUUCAUUUCGACAAGUAAUCACAUGACGUAACAACUAUAAACGUGGUUUGAUGGCCAAAAUUUUAGGUUUCAAUAUUCCCUCCAUCACAUUUCGUGUUCCUUCUUACAAGUUUGGGGCUGAAUUUGGGGGAAUGUUGGAGGGAAAUAUUGGCGGACAUGGUUUUGCUGAAAAUACACACAAUUACACCAUAGUUUUUAUACGAAACGUCGUAUCACUCUUACAUGUUGGACACCUUACAACUUAGGAAGGUUGAUGCUCAAAUUUUUACACAUUCACACCACGAUUUCUAAAGAAACUGACAUCUAAAAAGUUAAAAAUUAGUCACACAACGGGUUCUCACUAUACAUCGUCUGAUAGACAUUGUCUGAUGCUGGUUUUUGUGGUAGUACUUGACAAAAUCGAUGAAGCUUGAUGGGGGGUGAGUACUCCUACUAAUACCCAAGAAAAAUUAUAAAAUGAACUAAGGACAUGGAAGGAGAGGAAGAAUGGAAUGAUGGUGAGGAGAAGGGAAGGGUGUGUGCGGCCGACUCCCAGAGAGAAAGAAUGAGAUAAUAGGUCAUGGCGUGGUUUAGCACCUUCAGCUUUGCAUUUGAGGGAAACAAGGUGCCAUGUGGCAGCUUGUCAUUGGUUGAGCUUGAGAGAAAUUGCACCUUGUGCACGUGAUGGAGAAGAUGGUCAAUUAAAUGAUCAAUUAAACAUCUGGGGCAUGUUUACUUACAUGGAAUGAAAUUGAAAAGUGAGGGAAUAAUUCUGGCAGAGGAGAAUUCCAGCGUUUACUUACACAUAAUAGAAUUGGAAUGGGUGUGGGUCCCACCUCCUAAUAAAGAAUUGAUUCCUUGACAACCCUGAAUUGAAAUACCAAGGGGGGAGGUGGGAUUAAGAAUGAUACCAUCAGGAAUGAACUUUUAUUCCGAAAAUAUCCUCUUUAAUUUUAUAUGCUAAUAAUAUUGAGGAAUUUGUUUAAGAUGCU
rnacentral:lncRNA from 1 species